rnacentral:rRNA from 1 species
UACGAAGGGGGCUAGCGUUGCUCGGAAUCACUGGGCGUAAAGCGCACGUAGGCGGAUUGUUAAGUCAGGGGUGAAAUCCUGGAGCUCAACUCCAGAACUGCCUUUGAUACUGGCGAUCUUGAGUCCGGAAGAGGUGAGUGGAACUCCGAGUGUAGAGGUGAAAUUCGUAGAUAUUCGGAAGAACACCAGUGGCGAAGGCGGCUCACUGGUCCGGUACUGACGCUGAGGUGCGAAAGCGUGGGGAGCAAACAGGG